GAACCGUGCGAACGUUGUUCGGAAUCACUGGGCUUAAAGGGCGCGUAGGCGGGCCGGACGGUCCGGGGUGAAAUCCCCCCGCUCAACGGGGGAACGGCCUCGGAUACCGCCGGCCUGGAGGGGGGUAGGGGCGAGCGGAACGCUGGGUGGAGCGGUGAAAUGCGUUGAUAUCCAGCGGAACUCCGGUGGCGAAGGCGGCUCGCUGGACCCUCACUGACGCUGAGGCGCGAAAGCCAGGGGAGCGAACGGGAUUAGAUACCCCGGUAGUCCUGGCCCUAAACGAUGGGGACUAGGUAGUCGGCCGGCAUGGGCGGACUGCCGUAGCCAAAGUGCUAAGUCCCCCGCCUGGGGAGUAUGGCCGCAAGGCUGAA
rnacentral:rRNA from 1 species